GACGAACGCUGGCGGCGUGCUUAACACAUGCAAGUCGAGCGGAGCGGCGAACGGGCGAGUAAUGCGUGAGUAACUGCCCCCCUCCCUGGGAUAACAGUUGGAAACGGCUGCCAAUACCGGAUAGUGGGGGAUGACGCGGGUCCUAUCAGCUUGUCGGUGGGGUAGGGGCCUACCAAGGCGACGAAGGGUAGCCGGACUGAGAGGGCGACCGGCCACAUUGGGCUGAGGUACGGCCCGAACUGCUACGGGAGGCAGCAGUGGGGAAUAUUGCGCAAUAGGGGAAACCCUGAUGCAGCAACGCCGCGUGCGGGAUGACGGCCUUCGGGUUGUAAACCGCUUUCAGCCAUGACGCGGUAGUGGCAGAAGAAGCACCGGCUAACUACGUGCCAGCAGCCGCGGUAAUUC
rnacentral:rRNA from 1 species